rnacentral:lncRNA from 1 species
UCGGAUAUGGUAUAUUUGGCAAUAAAAUUAGCUAGGACUUGUGCUUUCAUGGACAGUCGUGGGCGAUAUUGAAUGUCAAAUUUAUCAAGCUUUACUUUCCACUUUGCCAUCCAACCUGAUGUGUCAGGUUGAUGUAAGAUCGCCUUCAGCAGCUGAUCUAUCAAAACUACAAUUUGAUGGGCUUGAAAGUACGGACGAAGUCGUUGUACUGAUAUAAUCAGGG